UAGGGAAUCUUCCGCAAUGGACGCAAGUCUGACGGAGCAACGCCGCGUGAGUGAAGAAGGAUUUCGGUUCGUAAAACUCUGUUGUUAGAGAAGAACAGCGCAUAGAGUAACUGUUAUGCGUGUGACGGUAUCUAACCAGAAAGCCACGGCUAACUACGUGCCAGCAGCCGCGGUAAUACGUAGGUGGCAAGCGUUGCCCGGAUUUAUUGGGCGUAAAGCGAGCGCAGGCGGUCAAUUAAGUCUGAUGUGAAAGCCCCCGGCUCAACCGGGGAGGGUCAUUGGAAACUGGUUGACUUGAGUGCAGAAGAGGAGAGUGGAAUUCCAUGUGUAGCGGUGAAAUGCGUAGAUAUAUGGAGGAACACCAGUGGCGAAGGCGACUCUCUGGUCUGUAACUGACGCUGAGGCUCGAAAGCGUGGGUAGCAAACAGG
rnacentral:rRNA from 1 species